rnacentral:rRNA from 1 species
UGCAGUCGACGGCAGCGCGGGGCAACCUGGCGGCGAGUGGCGAACGGGUGAUUAAUAUAUCGGAACGUACCCAAGAGUGGGGGAUAACGCAGCGAAAGUUGCGCUAAUACCGCAUACGAUCUAAGGAUGAAAGCAGGGGACCGCAAGGCCUUGUGCUCCUGGAGCGGCCGAUAUCUGAUUAGCUAGUUGGUAGGGUAAAGGCCUACCAAGGCUACGAUCAGUAGCUGGUCUGAGAGGACGACCAGCCACACUGGAACUGAGACACGGUCCAGACUCCUACGGGAGGCAGCAGUGGGGAAUUUUGGACAAUGGGCGCAAGCCUGAUCCAGCAAUGCCGCGUGAGUGAAGAAGGCCUUCGGGUUGUAAAGCUCUUUUGUCAGGGAAGAAACGGUGGGAGCUAAUAUCCCUCACUAAUGACGGUACCUGAAGAAUAAGCACCGGCUAACUACGUGCCAGCAGCCGCGGUAAUACGUAGGGUGCAAGCGUUAAUCGGAAUUACUGGGCGUAAAGCGUGCGCAGGCGGUUUUGUAAGUCUGACGUGAAAUCCCCGGGCUCAACCUGGGAAUUGCGUUGGAGACUGCAAGGCUAGAAUCUGGCAGAGGGGGGUAGAAUUCCACGUGUAGCAGUGAAAUGCGUAGAGAUGUGGAGGAACACCGAUGGCGAAGGCAGCCCCCUGGGUCAAGAUUGACGCUCAUGCACGAAAGCGUGGGGAGCAAACAGGAUUAGAUACCCUGGUAGAAUCACUAGUGAAUUC